CUUUAAAUUGAGAAUAUCCUAUUAUCUUGUAAACGGUCCAAAUCCCCACCCCUAAACCAUAUAUAUUCUUGAAUGGGACGAUAAAACAAAUUUAAUGAAAUAAAAGGGAAAUCCCUAGGGGUCACCCCCACCCCAUUCAAAUUGAGAAUGUGCUAAUAUAAUGUAAACAGUCCAGAUCCCUACCCCUAAACCAUAUAUAUUCUUGUAGGGGACAAUAAAACAAAUGAAAAGAAAUAAAAGGAAAGUCCCUAGGGGGUCACCCCGACCCCUCUUGAUUGAAAACUUGUAAACGGUCCAUAUCCCCACCCCUAAACCAUAUAUAUAUAUUCUUGUAUGGAAUAAUAAAACAUCAAAUGAAAUAUAGGGAGAGUCCAUAGGGGUUACCCCCACCCCGUUCAAUUUGAGAAUGUUCUAUUAUCUUGUAAAUGGUCCAGAUCCCCACCCC
rnacentral:lncRNA from 1 species